UAGGGAAUCUUCCGCAAUGGACGCAAGUCUGACGGAGCAACGCCGCGUGAGUGAAGAAGGAUUUCGGUUCGUAAAACUCUGUUGUUAGAGAAGAACAGCGCAUAGAGUAACUGUUAUGCGUGUGACGGUAUCUAACCAGAAAGCCACGGCUAACUACGUGCCAGCAGCCGCGGUAAUACGUAGGUGGCAAGCGUUGUCCGGAUUUAUUGGGCGUAAAGCGAGCGCAGGCGGUCAAUUAAGUCUGAUGUGAAAGCCCCCGGCUCAACCGGGGAGGGUCAUUGGAAACUGGUUGACUUGAGUGCAGAAGAGGAGAGUGGAAUUCCAUGUGUAGCGGUGAAAUGCGUAGAGAUUAGGAAGAACACCGGUGGCGAAGGCGACUUUCUGGACGAAAACUGACGCUGAGGCGCGAAAGCGUGGGGAGCAAACAGG
rnacentral:rRNA from 1 species